GUUGAUAUGAAAUUUUAUAUUGUCUAUGCAAUUUUAGGACAGCAGUAUAUAGUGAGAAUGGGGGGUGCUCACUGUAUUUAUUAUUAAAAUAAAACUUAAUCGCCCCAUGUCCAAAAUUGCGUUGCAAUUACGUACUAUGUACACGUAACAUAGUCAGAUUAUCAAAACAGCCAUUAUUUGAAACAGUAUUAUGAAGUUAUGAACUGAUGCACAAUGUCCAGCAUAAUUUACAUAAGAUCACGUAUCCAAUCAUACAAAUGAGAUUUCAACUCUCAUCACAUGCGAGGACAAGCUGAUAUGUACUAGUUAAAACAUGAGUGAGCUGGGCUUUAUCUAUUAUACAAUUUUUGUAUUUUUGUAUUUUCCUCAUGAAUUAUUAAUGAGUUUUUUAAAUAGCCAUACAGUAUAGUCUUAAUUAUUUGAAAACUCUCGUGCAUGCGUGCAGCUAUUAUUGCAUGGUUUUGAUUAUACUGCCACAUUUCUCGUCAAAACCGCCACAAAGAAUAAUUUCAUAGAGAGCUUGUAUAAAAUUAAUAAAUUUAUGUUAUUCAAUUUACAAAACCUCAAUUUGAUUAUGUUAUUGCUAUAUGCGACUAGAUAGAAUUUUUUUUUCAAAUACUGUUAUGACAUAUUAGCAGCUUUUGAUCUACUACGGCUAAUAAGUACCUCAUGUACCUCUUUUGAGUUUUGGGUCCAUGUUUCGAAUAAAUUAAGAUAUUUCAUGCGCAUAUAUCAUGCACCCCUAUUUUGCUUAGCUGCAAAGUGGGAUGGCAAAGAACGCGAUAUGAUAUAAACCGGCCCUUCUUUCGUGCCCUUUUACCCCUUUUUAUAUGGACAGAAAUAGCUCAUAUCCUGCUGACAGGAAGAUAAGACUACUCAAAAACUGUGACCAUCCGGCUGGCUUCCCCUAUUACCAUAAACUACGUCAGCACAAGUUGCAUAAAUAUACGUACACAACACUGGUCACUUUCAUUUCAUCUCAUUGUGAAUAAAACAGAGUGAAACACUGGGUUUAGCAUUUAAAAGUUUUACAAGCUUCGGAAGAGAACCAGGUAAGAGUCAACAAAUAAUUCAUAUCGAGUAGCUAGCUAUAUUAGUCGAAUUACUAUUCUGAUCGUCGAGUUUGUGCAACUUAUAAAAAUCCAUGUACAAAUAUAUAUACCACUAACGAAGAGCGCGCUUGGUUUUUCGAAUAUUGAUUUUUGAAGUUUGCAGUUUACCUGGCAGUUUGCGCCAAUGAGUUUGUUAUUUCCGAAACAAUAUAAAUCAUGAUUUCCCAAGCUUACCGUUUGCGCUAAUAAGGUAGUGUAACAGUCAACUAAAAACCUAGUUAUUAAACAUAGACGUUACAUGAUAUAUUUAUGUUGUGUUAUGUUCUAAAAUGCAUUCGUUGCAUUAUUUGCCGAGUGAAAUCAUAAAUUUUGUGUCCGUGUACUGUAUUACUUGGUAUUCGUUGCCCGCUCAGGUUUACACGCGUGACACCUAGCGAACUAAAGUCGUAGCCACUGAUAGCGUACCAAAUUCACAAACUGUAACUGCAAAUUGUCUUGUCAUAUAUGAUUGUAUGUGGCAAUUAAAUAUUGUCGCAGUGACAACUUUGAAGCAUAUAAAACAACAUAUUGUAUUCAUAAACACCGUAUUAAACUAAGAAACCCGGCAAAACUAAUCUACUAGUCUAAACUUAGUCUGUACUCUGUAGUGUAGUCAAAGCACAUGG